rnacentral:rRNA from 1 species
UCUCCUGGAAAACGGGUGGUAAUGCCGGAUGUUCCAGUUGAUCGCAUGGUCUUCUGGGAAAGCUUUCGCGGUAUGGGAUGGGGUCGCGUCCUAUCAGCUUGACGGCGGGGUAACGGCCCACCGUGGCUUCGACGGGUAGCCGGCCUGAGAGGGCGACCGGCCACAUUGGGACUGAGAUACGGCCCAGACUCCUACGGGAGGCAGCAGUGGGGAAUAUUGCACAAUGGGCGCAAGCCUGAUGCAGCGACGCCGCGUGAGGGAUGGAGGCCUUCGGGUUGUAAACCUCUUUUAUCGGGGAGCAAGCGUGAGUGAGUUUACCCGUUGAAUAAGCACCGGCUAACUACGUGCCAGCAGCCGCGGUAAUACGUAGGGUGCAAGCGUUAUCCGGAAUUAUUGGGCGUAAAGGGCUCGUAGGCGGUUCGUCGCGUCCGGUGUGAAAGUCCAUCGCUUAACGGUGGAUCCGCGCCGGGUACGGGCGGGCUUGAGUGCGGUAGGGGAGACUGGAAUUCCCGGUGUAACGGUGGAAUGUGUAGAUAUCGGAAAAGAACACCA